AACGAACGCUGGCGGCAUGCCUAACACAUGCAAGUCGAACGAAGCCUUCGGGCUUAGUGGCGCACGGGUGCGUAACGCGUGGGAAUCUGCCCUUGGGUUCGGAAUAACAGUUAGAAAUGACUGCUAAUACCGGAUGAUGUCUUCGGACCAAAGAUUUAUCGCCCAAGGAUGAGCCCGCGUAGGAUUAGGUAGUUGGUGGGGUAAUGGCCCACCAAGCCGACGAUCCUUAGCUGGUCUGAGAGGAUGAUCAGCCACACUGGGACUGAGACACGGCCCAGACUCCUACGGGAGGCAGCAGUGGGGAAUAUUGGACAAUGGGCGAAAGCCUGAUCCAGCAAUGCCGCGUGAGUGAUGAAGGCCUUAGGGUUGUAAAGCUCUUUACCAGGGAUGAUAAUGACAGUACCUGGAGAAUAAGCUCCGGCUAACUCCGUG
rnacentral:rRNA from 1 species